UCCGAAGGUUCGGUUAUUCCGAAGGUUCGUAUUUCCGAAGGUUCGUAAUUCCGAAGGUUCGUUAGUCCGAAAUCGAAUUGAGGUUCGUAAUUCCGAAGAUUCGUUAAUCCGAAAACAAAAUAAGGUUCUUUACGAAAUUACGAACGUUCGGAACAUCGAACCUUAUUUUGUUUUCGGAUUAAAGCACCUUCGGAACAACGAACCUUAUUUCUUUUUCGGAUUAACGAACCUUCGGAACAACGAAUCUUAUUUUGUUUUCGGAUUAUCGAACCUUCGGAAUAACGCCACAAAUGUUCGGAUUAACGAACCCUUUUUCGUUUUCGGAUUAACGAACAUCGAGGUAUAGGCAAUUUACGUGGUUCGGAAUUACGAA